CCCUUGGAUGUUCUGGGCCGCACGCGUGCUACACUGAGUGGAUCAGCGGGUCAGGUUGCGCGAAAGUGUUUCCUAAUCUUUAAAUCCGCUCGUGAUGGGGAUUGACGGUUGCAAUUUUCCGUCAUGAACGAGGAAUACCUUGUAAGCGCGGGUCAUCAUCCCGCGCUGAAUACGUCCCUGCCCUUUGUACACACCGCCCGUCGCUCCUACCGAUUGAGUGGUCCGGUGAGGCUUUGGGAUCUGAGCGGAAAGAGCGUUUCGCUGUUUCUGCUCGGAAAACUCAGUCGAACCUUAUCAUUUAGAGGAAGGAGAAGUCGUAACA
rnacentral:rRNA from 1 species